rnacentral:rRNA from 1 species
GAUGAACGCUGGCGGCGUGCCUAAUACAUGCCAGUCGAGCGAACAGAUGAGGAGCUUGCUCCUCUGACGUUAGCGGCGGACGGGUGAGUAACACGUGGAUAACCUACCUAUAAGACUGGGAUAACUUCGGGAAACCGGAGCUAAUACCGGAUAAUAUAUUGAACCGCAUGGUUCAAUAGUGAAAGACGGUUUUGCUGUCACUUAUAGAUGGAUCCGCGCCGCAUUAGCUAGUUGGUAAGGUAACGGCUUACCAAGGCAACGAUGCGUAGCCGACCUGAGAGGGUGAUCGGCCACACUGGAACUGAGACACGGUCCAGACUCCUACGGGAGGCAGCAGUAGGGAAUCUUCCGCAAUGGGCGAAAGCUUGACGGAGCAACGCCGCGUGAGUGAUGAAGGUCUUCGGAUCGUAAAACUCCGUUAUUAGGGAAGAACAAAUGUGUAAGUAACUAUGCACGUCUUGACGGUACCUAAUCAGAAAGCCACGGCUAACUACGUG